UACGUAGGUGGCAAGCGUUACUCGGAAUCACUAGGCGUAAAGCGCAGGUAGGCGGUUCGGUAAGUCUCUUGUGAAAGCUCCCGGCUCAACUGGGAGAGGUCAAGGGAAACUACCGGGCUAGAGUGUGGCAGAGGAAGCUGGAAUUCCCGGUGUAGCGGUGAAAUGCGUAGAGAUCGGGAGGAAUACCUAUGGCGAAGGCGGCUCACUGGGCCGGUCCUGACGCUGAGACGCGAAGGCGUGGGGAGCGAACGGG
rnacentral:rRNA from 1 species